AAUCCAUAGGUUAAUGAGGCGAACCGGGGGAACUGAAACAUCUAAGUACCCCGAGGAAAAGAAAUCAACCGAGAUUCCCCCAGUAGCGGCGAGCGAACGGGGAGGAGCCCAGAGCCUGAAUCAGCAUGUGUGUUAGUGGAAGCGUCUGGAAAGGCGCGCGAUACAGGGUGACAGCCCCGUACACAAAAGCGCAUGUGCUGUGAGCUCGAUGAGUAGGGCGGGACACGUGGUAUCCUGUCUGAAUAUGGGGGGACCAUCCUCCAAGGCUAAAUACUCCUGACUGACCGAUAGUGAACCAGUACCGUGAGGGAAAGGCGAAAAGAACCCCGGCGAGGGGAGUGAAAAAGAACCUGAAACCGUGUACGUACAAGCAGUGGGAGCACAGGUUUACCUGUGUGACUGCGUACCUUUUGUAUAAUGGGUCAGCGACUUAUAUUCUGUAGCAAGGUUAACCGAAUAGGGGAGCCGGAGGGAAACCGAGUCUUAAUUGGGCGUUAAGUUGCAGGGUAUAGACCCGAAACCCGGUGAUCUAGCCAUGGGCAGGUUGAAGGUUGGGUAACACUAACUGGAGGACCGAACCGACUAAUGUUGAAAAAUUAGCGGAUGACCUGUGGCUGGGGGUGAAAGGCCAAUCAAACCGGGAGAUAGCUGGUUCUCCCCGAAAGCUAUUUAGGUAGCGCCUCGUGAACUCAUCUCCGGGGGUAGAGCACUGUUUCGGCUAGGGGGUCAUCCCGACUUACCAACCCGAUGCAAACUGCGAAUACCGGAGAAUGUUAUCACGGGAGACACACGGCGGGUGCUAACGUCCGUCGUGAAGAGGGAAACAACCCAGACCGCCAGCUAAGGUCCCAAAGUCAUGGUUAAGUGGGAAACGAUGUGGGAAGGCCCAGACAGCCAGGAUGUUGGCUUAGAAGCAGCCAUCAUUUAAAGAAAGCGUAAUAGCUCACUGGUCGAGUCGGCCUGCGCGGAAGAUGUAACGGGGCUAAACCAUGCACCGAAGCUGCGGCAGCGACACUGUGUGU
rnacentral:rRNA from 1 species